AAACUCAAAGGAUUAAUCUCUCGAACUCAAUCAGAUCUCACCAAGGGGCAUAACUGCAAUAAUGAAGACUAGCAAGGAAGCAGUAAAGAAGAAGCCGGUCAAGCAGUUGGAAAUAAAGAUGAAAAACAAAGAGAAGACUGAUGAAGCAUCCCUGAUAAAUAACAAGUCCAAAACUGAUAAUGCUGAAGCAGCUGA